rnacentral:tRNA from 1 species
GCCCAGGUGGCGAAAUUGGCAAACGCAGUGGUUUCCAAAACUACCGUUUCGCACGGACUUACGGGUUCGAAUCCCGUUCUGGGCA